CAAUCGCGCCGGCGGCGCGCAGCCGCGCCACGGUGUUGGCGUCCUGCGUGGGCCUAUACGAGAACGCCGGGCAGGCGGCAGUGGUCGGAAGGCCUGCGACGUCGAUGUUGUCCUUCACUGCAACGGGCACCCCGUAGAGCGGCAGCGAGGUGUCGCCCUUCGCCGCGAGCGCUUCGGCUUCGGCAAUCGCCUCGGCCUCGAUGCGCAGGCUGAUGAAGAUCGCGGGAUCGCCAUAGUCGCGGAUGCGCUGAAAGCUGCGUGCAACAGUCUUGGCAGGUGAAGUUAUCCCUGCGCGAUGCGCGGCGACGAUUUCGGCAACAGUCUCGGUCACAAAUCGCUUCCUGUCGUUUUGGUUGGAGAUUCCGCCGGCUCGGCCGCGAGCAAAUUUUUGAUUG
rnacentral:misc_RNA from 1 species